GGUUAAGCGACCAAGCGUACACGGUGGAUGCCCUGGCAGUCAGAGGCGAUGAAGGACGUGCUAAUCUGCGAAAAGCGCCGGUAAGGUGAUAUGAACCGUUAUAACCGGCGAUGUCCGAAUGGGGAAACCCAGUGUGACUCGUCACACUAUCAUUAACUGAAUCCAUAGGUUAAUGAGGCGAACCGGGGGAACUGAAACAUCUAAGUACCCCGAGGAAAAGAAAUCAACCGAGAUUCCCCCAGUAGCGGCGAGCGAACGGGGAGGAGCCCAGAGCCUGAAUCAGCAUGUGUGUUAGUGGAAGCGUCUGGAAAGGCGCGCGAUACAGGGUGACAGCCCCGUACACAAAAGCGCAUGUGCUGUGAGCUCGAUGAGUAGGGCGGGACACGUGGUAUCCUGUCUGAAUAUGGGGGGACCAUCCUCCAAGGCUAAAUACUCCUGACUGACCGAUAGUGAACCAGUACCGUGAGGGAAAGGCGAAAAGAACCCCGGCGAGGGGAGUGAAACAGAACCUGAAACCGUG
rnacentral:rRNA from 1 species